AAAAAAAAUUAAAAAAAAAAAAAGUUAUUGUAAUAGUUGAUUUCAGAGGAAAUGGAAUGCAAAAGUAGAAUGGAUAAUUGUUGGUUGCUUCAAUGUGAUGGCUGUCGUAGUCCAAAAGAAAAUGAUAGUGCUACUUUGUUUAGGGGGUGCAGCUUGUGUUUCCAAAAGCCGUUUGACUUAUUUUUCUUCUGAAUCAUUAUUGGACGUUAAGUCAUUGGUGGUGGUGAUGGGUGGGCCUGGUUUGGUUUCACUGAUCUAUUUUACUCAUAUCCUCAUCCCAACCACUAUUCUA
rnacentral:misc_RNA from 1 species